GUGGAGUAACAAUGGAGUUUCUGCCUCCUAACUUUGUAAUACAAACUGGUGAAUCAUCACAGAUCUUUCAGUGUUACCUUUAGGGAAACAAGGAACUACCUUCAAAAAUCUCCUGUUAUAGCUCAAUAAAGACAAGUUGCAGACUGCAGGAUCAAUGCCUUGCUAUAAAGAAAACUAAGAGGGAUGAAAAAUUGGAGAGCAAGAUGGAUGAAAGCAAAAAUGAGAUUGUCAGAUUUGCUACGUCUGAGGACCAAGGACCACCAAAUCAGUGUUUUGGAUGUGGCAAGUGGUAACAGGAACUGGAUGUGAAAUCAUGUCAUUUGCUGGUUGUACACCUGAGGCUGCCAUCUGACUUUCCAGACACUGCUUUGAGGAGGAACUUUUGGAGAUGUCUAAUCUGGCACUUGACUCAAAGCAGCUUCAACCCUGAUUCCACUCUGGAGUUGAAUUCCAGCCUCUCUAGAAAACCCAAUGGUUUUCUACCUAAUCAGCCACCAGACUGCGUAGGAAAACUGUGUCCCAAGUGCAAGACGCUGCGUUUUCCUUUAUUGAGCUUCAUGAGGUUUUUCCAGCUUGCCAAGCUCCCUUUGAGAGGCAGCUUUACCCUGCAGCUUUUCAGUCUUUCUCCUGAUUUAAAUAAUUCCAUCUUUUACCUUUCAUUUAACGUCUUCAUAGAAUAUUUUAUGAGAAAGGUAUCGUAAGAAGCAUUCAGAAAAUAGGGAAAAUGGAAGACAUGAACCUUCCAAGGUGACUGCUCUUUGGUAAUUGUACUUCACAGUCAAAAUCGAAAUGAAAACAGUUUUUUGUACAUCUUUUGUGGUCACAGAUUGUGCUAAAAAUGAGUAUAUAGUGUCUGAACUUAUGGUUCUUAGGCAAAAACUCCAUUCAAAUAUCACUGUGGAAAAGUCAAUGUUAAAAUGUGCUAGUGAGGUAGAAGGAAUGAGGAACAAGGAUCUAGAAUGGAAACCUGGGGAAAAACAUCACAGCUGAGUCACUCAGAAACUUUGCAUUUAUUAGCUUUUUAGAUAUUUAUUCUCCUAGGGGAUUAUUAAUAUUUAUCACAUUGUGUGUCCAUAUCAGACCCUAAUAAGAAGAACUUUUAUGUAAUAGAAAAUAUUUUAAGAUGAAGCUUUUUUCUUUAGAUACCGGAGUUUAAGAGUGCCUGAAUUGCAGCAACUUCAAGAGAGAUGAUUUUCAGUGGAAGAUGUGAAUUUAAGGAGAUGUGAAUUUAACCUCAGCUAAAUAAGAACUGGACAUCUACUCUUACCGGAUCUUCUAGGCCCUCUGAUCAAUGCACAGAUUCUCAUCUAUAUCAAAAUCAAAUGCUAUUCCAAGUUGUUGAGAACUCCGGUGGACUAUGAAAAACACUGGCAUGCCAUGCAGCCAUUGGGCAGUGGGUUUGGAAUGCAUCUACACAAAAGUAAUCUCCUGACCCAUUUCUACCCAAGAAUAAGUUGGUUCAGUUGUGGAACAGCCUCAGAGGUUGAGAAGGACCUUCUUUUGGACAAAACAAAACUGGAAGAUGCACACUCCAAGAGGUUGCCUGCUGCACUUCAACCAUCAAAAGAUGCUCAGUGCCCAGGAGUCUGCCCAAGGCAAGUCUACCUGUUCCUGUUGACUCUGGGGCUACUUACUGUGCAAGGUUUGUGGAGACCAGAGAAAAGGGCACACCUGUAUUUGACAUUGCAGU